CUUCUAUAGAAGUGCACAACAGACAGUGGGUGAUGUUAACAUUAUGUCACUUUCAUCAGAAAACAUGUUUUCUGUAGCGCUGUUACUGUUCUUAGCAGCUGGAUGUGACACAGUCAGCUCCUUUGACUCUGCAGCCAGGUCAGCAUCUGACCAUCACCUGUCAGGUCUCUUAUUCUGUUAGCAGCUGGUACACAGCUAUAUUGUCACAUAACUGCUGUCAACAACUGAAAAGUGAAAAAUUAAAAAUCUGAUCUCACCUUUA